CACUCACGUCAUGACGAAAAAAUGGAAGACUAGUGAAAGGUGAAAGUGAAAGAUUAAGUUAUGGAUGCCAGUUGACGAGGUUAAAUUGCAUAUGAUAGACUCUUGGAUAGUAUUUAUGUGCAAUAGUUUUUGUUAAUUUCCAUCGUCAUCAAUAUUUUUCACUAAAUCAAGGCAGAUUUUGAAAAUUCCUAAAAUUUACAACCAUGCAUGCAGGCAAUCACAUAUCUGAUCCACGAAGACCCGAUAGAGAACAUAGAUUCAAACAGCCAGUAUCCAAUUCCCAAAAUCCUAAUGGAGAUGACUUAACUCCAGAUUAUAUGAAUAUACUUGGUAUGAUAUUUAGCAUGUGCGGCCUCAUGAUGAGGUUGAAGUGGUGUGCAUGGGUGGCUCUGUACUGUUCUUGUAUUAGCUUUGCCAACUCACGUGUUAAUGAUGAUACGAAACAAAUUCUCAGCAGCUUCAUGCUUUCUAUCUCAGCAGUAGUGAUGUCAUAUCUGCAGAACCCACAGCCCAUGAGCCCCCCUUGGACAACAGUGCUGCAAUGAGUUAGUGGCUGAGGAGUACCUUUCUUCUGGAGGAUCUGAUCACCACUCAGAGCCGGUGAGGGCACCAGCUUCAUCCAUGGUGCUGACUCCUCAAGGACUGUCGCUCUCAAUUUUCAACUUAUAGCUACAGUCAAGAAGUUCACAAAUUGUGUAUUUAUUUCUAUUUGUUAAUAAAUGUUCUCAUAUUAA
rnacentral:misc_RNA from 1 species